CAGCCGCCGCGGUAAUACCGGCAGCUCAAGUGAUGGCCGCUAUUAUUGGGCCUAAAGCGUCCGUAGCCGGCUAGACAGGUCCGUCGGGAAAUCCACCCGCUCAACGGGUGGGCGUCCGGCGGAAACCAGCUAGCUUGGGACCGAGCGACCUGAGGGGUACGUCCGGGGUAGGAGUGAAAUCCCGUAAUCCCGGACGGACCAUCGGUGGCGAAAGCGCCUCAGGAGAGCGGAUCCGACGGUGAGGGACGAAAGCUAGGGUCUCGAGCCGGAUUAGAUACCCGGGUAGUCCUAGCCGUAAACGAUGCUCGCUAGGUGUGGCGCUGGCUACGAGCCAGCGCUGUGCCGUAGGGAAGCCGUGAGGCGAGCCGCCUGGGAAGUACGUCCGCAAGGAUGAAACUUAAAGGAAUUGGCGGGGGAGCAC
rnacentral:rRNA from 1 species